GGGCUGGGCGGGCGUCCCACCCCCGGACCUUGCUGUCUGCACCCCACCACGGGGGCCCUGGGCAGGGUUGGGGAGUGGGGGGGGCGGCAGAAUGUGGAUACCUCGUGCCAGGGGCAGGUGGCUUCACUGUCUUCCUUGGAAGAACGAGACAGCUACCUCCAGCAGAGGCCUGGAAGCCCCAGACAGCGCCUGAGCUGACCAACAGCAAGCCUUGAGCCCCCCACCCCUAGCACGGGGGACAGCAGCGGGGCAGAGGCGCCGAGAAGACUUCUGAGGGGGUUGUGCCCAGCCUCACGGCCACCUUUGCAGACUUCCCUGCACAGGGAAGUUGGCUUUGCUGAGUGUCAAAAUCAGAGCAGGCCUGUGUGUGUGCCUCUGAGUGCUAGACUCAGACGGCAAGGAAGCACCGGAGUGCACGUGGGCUGAAUCCAGCCGCAUCACUUUCGCUCUUAGUUUUGUGGGGGAAAAUACAGGCGGCGGACCCAAAGCCUCGGUCAGGCCUCAAGCUUCAGGGAUCCCCAGUGCUGGCUUUGCAGUCCCCCCAAACCCACAUGUAAGCCAAGUAUGCCCAGCUGUAUGGCACCGACUCAGCUGGGGGCAUAGAAACCUCCAGGUUUAGGUGGGGCGACAAAGCCAGUGCCUGGGCAACCAUUAGAGCGCCAUUAAAGCGGGAACCUGCGUGGCAUCGUCUCUGUUCAGAGGAGACAGCGGGUGAGGGCCGGGGAAGGCGGGGAGGGCUUCCGGAGCUCCGUGGUCUUAAGUAGCAUUGAGAGACGACAGGGCCAGGUGGAGGGAAGGAAGCCUGAGUCUUAGGUGAAGCUCAGAACAAGCAGAGAGCUCACUGCCCACCAGAUGCAGCCCUGGGUCCCUGUCUCCCUUUCCAGCUCUGCCUCUGGUCACUCUCUUCUGUCCCCUGCACAGCGACUUCCUGUCAGGUUCUGACCAGGUCUUUUUGCAUGCUUCUCUCUUUGUUGUUGGGGAACCCUCUACCUUUUAAAAGAUGUACCUUCUCCACGGAAGACAUCCCUGGCACCCACCACACUGCCCCCCCCCCCCAGUCUUCCAGCAGAAUCGGGGAGCUCCUCCUUUGCCCUCACUGCUCCUGCAUGAACCUCUAGGGACGCUCUUACACCCUGCAUUGCCUGCUGGAGUUGAGGGGUCUCCGCCCCACUUGCUGAGGCAGGGCUGGGUCUCACUCAGUGUGCAAUCCUCUGAGCCCAAGCUGGCGGCUGGCACAGAGCAGGCCUUUGGGAAAUGUUGUUGGACUGAACUUGAGCCAUAUAUAGUGGGCAUUGAAGCGCUUCACCUCCUUGGAACGGAAGGCGUGCGUUAAGCACUAUUAUUGGGAAUUUGAGAUUAGAUACAUCUGGUAGAGCUAAAUCCUGGGGUCUCAAGGAGUCUGAGUUCAGGGCAGUGACAGCACUCAAGCCCUUAGCAGCCCCCGCUGCCCUCAGGACGGGAUGCAGGCUCCUUCUGGGUCGGACCCCAGGGUAUCCUCCUCGGCCUCAGCUCCCACGGUCCCCACCUUGGACUCACACCUGCCGAGCCUGGGCUCCCCCCUCUCCCUAGACCACCAGGGAUGCCCACGGCCGCCUCCAGCUCAUUCUUGAUCCUUAGGACCCCGUGUCUCUCUCCCUGGGUGUGGAGGUCCCUCAGCCCCACCGCAUGGGCACACCACCUCUAACGGCCUCACAUCCCCUGGCGGCUGCCCCCCUGCUCGUGACUCGGCACCCCAAAGGCAGUGAUGGGGUGUUCCCUGGAGAAAUCCGGUUGGAGGACCCCUUUGUUGAGAGAGAGUGCCCAGCAAACACAUCUCUGAUGGAAGAUCGAACCCUGGUGAUGGAAACGAAAGAGGAAGAGCAAUGCUAG